CCUACGGGUGGCAGCAGUGGGGGAUAUUGCACAAUGGGGGAAACCCUGAUGCAGCGACGCCGCGUGAGUGAAGAAGUAUUUCGGUAUGUAAAGCUCUAUCAGCAGGGAAGAAAAUGACAGUACCUAACCAAGAAGCACCGGCUAACUACGUGCCAGCAGCCGCGGUCAUACGUAGGGGGCAAGCGUUAUCCGGAUUGACUGGGGGUAAGGGGAGCGUAGACGGUUAUGUAAGUCUGGAGUGAAAGCCCGGGGCCCAACCCCGGGACUGCUUUGGAAACUGUGUAACUGGAGUACAGGAGGGGCAGGCGGAAUUCCUGGUGUAGCGGUGAAAUGCGUAGAUAUCAGUAGGAACACCGGCGGCGAAGGCGGCCUGCUGGAAUGAAACUGACGUUGAGGCUCGAAAGCGUGGGGAGCAAACAGGAUUAGAUACCCUUGUAGUC
rnacentral:rRNA from 1 species